UACACUGUAGCUGCACCAGAA
rnacentral:misc_RNA from 1 species